CACUCAUUACCUGCAGGAGUAACAGUAUAAUACUGUUUUAGAGAGUUGUAGCACUCACAGUGUCUCAGAGUCGAGUGGAGAGGAGAGAGAUGAGCUACCAGGAGGUCCAGUUUUGACAGAGAAACGACUCCACAGCGACUCCAGGCCUCGGUUGAUGAUUGGAAUAGAGGAGGAAGUGAAUCGGGGCGUUCGAGCAGGAAGAACCCGUGCAGGAGCGGUACAGGUCGGUGUGGGUGUGUUAGAGAACAGAGCAGUUAGAAAGACAGCGAUGAAGUAAGAACCUGGGUUCCACUCCAGUACCACCGACGACACCAAACACAACAGACUGGAGGAGUUUCCAUUAAUCCGUCCGAGAGAAAACCAGAUUUCAACCCCUUAAAGUGCCAGAAUCGGUUCAGGGGUCGAAAGAGAUGGAGAGAGAUAAAGAUGGUACUGGAGACGUCUCCAGGUCCGAAGGAUCGGGACAGAACCCCAGAGGGAAAAGCACGAAGAGACAGAGGACUGAGGAAAG
ensembl:lncRNA